rnacentral:rRNA from 1 species
AUUGAACGCUGGCGGCAUGCUUUACACAUGCAAGUCGAACGGCAGCACGGGAGCUUGCUCCUGGUGGCGAGUGGCGAACGGGUGAGUAAUGCAUCGGAACGUGCCCUGAAGUGGGGGAUAACGUAGCGAAAGUUACGCUAAUACCGCAUAUUCUGUGAGCAGGAAAGCAGGGGAUCUUCGGACCUUGCGCUUUUGGAGCGGCCGAUGUCGGAUUAGCUAGUUGGUGGGGUAAAGGCCCACCAAGGCGACGAUCCGUAGCGGGUCUGAGAGGAUGAUCCGCCACACUGGAACUGAGACACGGUCCAGACUCCUACGGGAGGCAGCAGUGGGGAAUUUUGGACAAUGGGCGCAAGCCUGAUCCAGCCAUGCCGCGUGAGUGAAGAAGGCCUCGGUUGUAAAGCUCUUCGGUGGGGAAGGAAAGUUAGCUUGGGUUAAGUACCUGAGUAGAUGACGGUACC